rnacentral:lncRNA from 1 species
GGUCAUAGAAACGUCUAUAGAUUAUUAUUAAUCUCUUUAAUUUAAAACAAAACAGCCAAAACCUGUUGGCAAAGGUUUUAUUAACGUUAUGAUAAAAACAAAAACCAACUUCGAUUACAUGAAAGCUACACGUUUUUUAUCUUCAAAAGACAAGAAUCUGUCUAUUCUUGAAGUUGAACGCAAAAAGCAUCUUUACCUAUUCUUGAACGCCAAAAAGCAAACUACAAUUCACGAAAUAAACAAGUUGUUGACUGACUAAAUUCAAGAAUUGUUUAUUAAAUUCAAGAAUUAUUUAUCAAAUUAAACAAAAACAAUUCAUGAACGCAAUGGUCAAAUCGAACAAGCUACGCCUACGCGUACCUUUAAUUUAAAAGCCAAAAAAAAAAAAAAUAACGAAGCCGACUUCCACGAACAUCUUUCUAAAGUUCCUAGGAUUCAAAAAGCGAUUAUAACAAAGAUUCUAAAAAAAUAAUUAAAAUAAUCACGAAGAUUCUUAUGUGUUUAGAAGAAAAAAAACGAAUGAUUGAGAUUAAUAUCAUAAUCAAAAACCCUAAUCAGAUUUUCAUAUUUUAAUCCUACAUGAUGAUCGAAUUGUCGUGAAUCAUCAAUCAAAUAAUAUAAUCAUAUACGAUUGCAAAAAUAAAAGAUGAAAAAGAGAUGUAUGAUAAUAAAAAAAUUAAUUUACCUGUAAACAUGGGAUUAAGCAAACGAGAUUUUUCUUCAAUGAGGGUUGAUCAAGGAUGAACGUUACGCCAACUCUUGUGUUUGUUCUCUUAUACGUACGCACUCACAACGAAGCACAAAGAGAUUUUAAUUCGUCGAAACGGAAUCAAUACAAUAAGAUCAAUUAAUUCGAUUUCUAAAAGGAAAAUAUUUUGGGAUUAAGGAAAGAUAUAAUCAAUAAAAUAUUUGUUUUUUUUAAAUUUUAAAGAAAAUGCUUAAAAUUAGGCAAAGUGGGAGGGAUUAAGAUUAGGAUGUUUAACCAAGUCGGCCGUUCCUCUCUCGCUUGCUGUAAAUCCUUAACCUAUCCUAAUUUUUAGCUUUAUG